GACGAACGCUGGCGGCGUGCUUAACACAUGCAAGUCGAACGGAAAGGCCCUGCUUUUGUGGGGUGCUCGAGUGGCGAACGGGUGAGUAACACGUGAGUAACCUGCCCUUGACUUUGGGAUAACUUCAGGAAACUGGGGCUAAUACCGGAUAGGAGCUCCUGCUGCAUGGUGGGGGUUGGAAAGUUUCGGCGGUUGGGGAUGGACUCGCGGCUUAUCAGCUUGUUGGUGGGGUAGUGGCUUACCAAGGCUUUGACGGGUAGCCGGCCUGGGAGGGGGACCGGCCACAUUGGUACUGAGAUACGGCGCAGACUCCUACGGGAGGCAGCAGUGGGGAAUAUUGCACAAUGGGCGGAAGCCUGAGGCAGCAACGCCGCGUGCGGGAUGACGGCCUUCGGGUUGUAAACCGCUUUCGCCUGUGACGAAGCGUGAGUGACGGUAAUGGGUAAAGAAGCACCGGCUAACUACGUG
rnacentral:rRNA from 1 species